UUUCUUUCUUUCUCUUUUAUUCCUCUUUUUCCUCGCUUCCUUCUUCUUCUUCUUUUCUUUUCUUCUUCGACCGAGACCCAAGCCACAGCGCGCCGCAUGCCGCCUGAGCUCAACGCUGCCGCGCCGUCGCGCGCAGCCUCCCCUGCGCAACCUCCACCAGCUCCACUCUCUUGACCACCUCCACCUCAGCUCAACCUCUACCAGCUCGCCAUCGCCGCCGCCGUCCAGCCCUGAGCUCCACCGCACGGUCGCUCCCACCACUGCAGCAGAUCCAGCUCAGCCGCCUGCCCACGCCCCACAGCCCAGCGCCGCAACAGCUUGCUGCUGCCUCCAACCCCACACGACACACAGCGCCCGAACUGCCAUCGCCGAUCGCCGCCAGUCUCCCAGCUCCCCCUCUGCGCUCUCUCCACUUCGUGAACCAGCCGCACUUAAGCUCACCUCCACCAGCUCUCCCUCGCACGCCACUAGCUGCUCCGCUGCUCGCUCCAUUCCCACCUGUCCAAAUUGACAGGUGGAGGUAUUGAACCUUCAACUUCGAUUAGUAUUUUUUUUUCUUUUUUUUUCUUCUGGUUCUGCUUUUGCUAGAUUUUGCGCUUGUGUGUCUGGGUUUCUUGUUGGAUAACAGAGAGGGUUGUUGUGGGCAUUUUCUAGGGUGAAUUUUGGACAGAUUUGGGUCUAAUUGCUACCAUAUGUGGGGAUAUUUUCUGAUAUUUGUUGAAUUGUUGGCCGUCUGACCUUCCCUAUGUGUAUACCAGUGGUACUGGUUGGAGUGUUUUGUUUACAUUCAUUGAUUUUAUGUGGUCGCCUGUCUGAUUGCGAGCUAAUGACCUUGUACUUCUGUUGUUGUUCGCAAUUUCACCUGUGGUUGCUGAAAUUGCCAAUUUCUGGGGUCAUUUGCUACUUUUCACAGGUUGGAUUUCUUGUUGGAUCCAAGAGGGUGAUAAUUUGGGCAUUUUCUAGGUCAAUUUUGGGACAAAAUUACGUUUAUUUGCUGCUUUGUUUGGGGAUAUUUUCUGGCAUCGAUUACAUUAUUGAGUUGGCCAUUUGCUUUAGUUUUUCCCUGUGACUCACCAGUGGUACUGGUUGAGAUUUUUGGCCUAUCGUUGUGGCUCCUAUUUGAAGAUUCUUGCUUAUUUGAAAGUUUAAGUUCUUGUGAUUGGGUUGCUGCCGUUGAAUUUAAUUCUUUCCUGUCUAUGCACCAGUGGUACUGGUUGCAAUGUUGCUUUCCAUUUCUUAAUCCUCUGUGCUGGACUGCCUAUUCGAUUCUUGAGUUUUGGUGCCUGAACCAUUUCUGAAGUGUACCCUUGGCUAGAGUUUUCCCUUAAUUAUUUCUCUUAAUCAAUUAUUUCCUGCAGUUAAUUUAUUUAGUUAGUAUUUAAUCCAAAAACCCCCCAUACUUUGGACUCUAGAAGAAACGAAUUAUCCCCAGUCCCUGUGGAUUCGACCCUACUCACCGCUAUAUAUAAAAUCUGUAUUUUUCUCGAGUAGGUAUUUAUUAUUGCACAGGUUCGGCACCUGUCAGGCGGUGUGGUGCCUUUGUAAACCAAAAGGAACAAAAUUAAGACACCCACAAAGAGGAGAAGACUUACGAACAACCAGAGUCUCAAAUUUAAAGAUGUG
rnacentral:lncRNA from 1 species